AUAUAAUUGUCUAUGGUUUUUUCUAACACUUUUUGACAUUUGGUUUUUGAUUGAUAAUUAUUUAAGUUUCUUUAGUUUGUUGUUUUCUUAUUAAAAAUUUGGUGAAUUUAAAAAAAUUAUUGCUAUGACAUCUAAAAAUCAGAAAACAUCAUUGCAAUUAGCUGAAAUAGAAGUUGCGUUAGCAGAAAUGUUUAACUUGUCCGAUGAGGAUAAUGAUGGUGAUGAUAAACAAAUUACUAACAGAGAUUAUAAAAGACUGGACAUAAAUCAAGCCCUAGAUUGUACUGAACAAAUUUAUGAAACUGUUGCUGAUGUAGAAAAUGCUUUGCUCGGAAAACAAAUUCCACCGCCUUCAGAUAUAGGUCAGCCCAUUAAGGAAACAUCUCAAUCAAAUAUUAUUCAAGGACUGCAGUUGAAGGAAACAAUCCCUGGAGCAAGCUUAGGAGCCAAUAACUCUCUAGAUCUUAUAAAAGAAUCGGUGACAGAACCUCAGCCAUUUCCUGCGAGCAAGCAACCCUUUGGUUCUUUACAAACUCCUCACAACUGGUCUAAUAAAGUUACAAACCACUCAAUUCCUACAUUUAAUGAUGAGAUGACUCCAACAAAAAUAUAUACUCAUAGAACAGACACAGAAAAUACAAUUGAUUAUUUCUAAGAUAUGUUCCCAGAACAAUUAAUUCUAUAUAUUAUUAAUAACACAAAUUUAUAUGCCUUACAUAAUAAUGCAACUGAUUGAAUUGAAACAUAUGGAGCAGAAAUAUGUUGCAUUUAUUGGAAUAGUUAUUCGUCAUGUGGAUCCCGGCAUAGAAUGGGCCACCUCCUCCUUUUCCAUGGAUGUCGUUAGAGGUGACUAAGGGAGGUUAUGGUAGAGGGAUGGGCAGCAGCGUCCCCCUUAAAACAUCUGUAAAAGCAUAACUGCGCUUGCCAAGCAUGGCAACUACUAGCAAAACUCCCCUUAUCAGGAAGGCUUAUGUUCCGCAAUCCCCCUAUGGGAAGGCUUAUAUUGAGUAGUGGACAGUUAAAGGCUGAAACAAUAAUUAGAAUAGUUAUAAUAAUGGAUAUAUACCCCCAACCAGAUAUAAAUUGUAUUAGUCCACAGAUUUCUUUUUCAAAAAUAAUGAAAUAAGAAAAGUUGUCUCUACGAAGAAAAAAAAAAUUACAAUAUUUAUAUCUCAAUGAUUACACUACUACAGGCAAGUAUGGAAAGCUUAACUUUGACUACCUGAAUAAAAUUAGACUCAUGUUGACUAUACUGAAUCAAUCAUUUCAAGGGAACUGUGUUCAGUAAUAGUCAGUCAGACAGUGUUAUGAAAAAAUAUAUGCUGUAAAAGUCUAUAAAAUGAGGGUAUAAAGUUUGGGCAAGGUGUGAUUCUCAUUCAGGGCACUUACAUGAAUUUGAUAUAUUUGUAGGUAAAGCUCAUCCAUCACCAGCAUUGGAAGAGGGCUAAGCUUAUAAUGGUGUGACAAAAUUUUGCAGAAAUGUUUCUGCUGAUAUACUAGUUACAUUUGACAACUUCUACACAAGUGUGCCCUUAUUUCAGGCUCUCUAUAAUAGAGGUAUCUAUUCUACUGGUACUAUAACAUCAAAUAGAAAAGGUCUGUCAAAAUAAGAAAGAAAUAAAUGUACUGGGCCCAAACUAAAGAUUGGUGAAUUUAUAUUUAAACAUUCAAGUCCAUUAUUUUAUGUUAAAUGAAUACAUACAAAAGAUGUCCAGGUAUUGACUAGUGCUGAUAACCCUGAAGAAGUUGCAGAAAUAUAGAGGAAACAAAAGAUGUAUCAAAAAAAAGUUAUUCUGCCCAUUGCCUAUAGUGAAUUAUAUGCAAAAUAUGGGCGGUGUUGAUAAAUUUGACUAUUAUAGGUCGUUUUGUUCUAUUAGUCGCAAAUCUAAGAUAUCCUGGAUGAAAUUAGUUUAUGUUAGAGGCAGCAAUGAUAAAUUCAUAUAUCUUGUAUUUAUGUGGCCAUGUAAAUUGUUACAAUUCUCACCGAAUAUUCAGACUGUGAUUAGUUAGAGGAAUAAUUAUACUUUCCAUUAGAAGAAACUGGUUAUGUUUAAAAAUAAAAAAGGAGGUAAUUUAGAUAAGACUAGCAGAAGUUGGUAAGCAUUUCCCGAAACUUAAUGAUAAUGCUAAAAGUUACAGAUUUUGUAAUACCAGGUUUGAAGAGAAACGGAGUAGAUAUGAAUGCAAAAUUUAAAAAAUCAGCCUUUCUGUAACACUUUGCUGGGAAUAUUUUCACACAGAUGUGUCACUAAUGAAGCACUAGCAGCUACCACUGAGUUCCUAUUUUUAAAACUGAUUUCGUAUCUGUGUUCAGCACUGGAGGAACUACGAUAGUCCACAAGCACGGUAAUGUGCUGGUCUUUAGCAGCAACUUCUGAACUUAAGUAAUAAUGUACGUAAUAUCUAUAAAUGCUAAUUGUAGUCAUUGUACCUUUACAUUGUACAUUAAUAGAAUAUCUAAAUGAUUUACAUCGGGGGAAAAGAUAUUGUUAGUAAUGGAGACUAAGAAUCCCAUUGCUAGCAAUAUAUCCAACCAGGUUAACCUCUUCGCGAUUCCUCCUGGAAACUAUCAUGAUUAAUUCGUGAUGAUGGGCAUUGAAUUCAUCAUGAUGGGCUAACUGGCCUGUUUUCAUCCUCAUUGAUCACCCUUCACUGGUGCCCCGCCAGCGUAUCUCAUUAGCGCAGGCGAGGUUACCACUCCAUGUUCAUCCAAUAAAAAAAAAUAUUUACAUCUCAUCAAAUGUAUGUAUAAA